rnacentral:lncRNA from 1 species
UUCAGAACCUCAGGGCACUCAAAUGACUUUUCCAGAAAUACCUCAGUGGGUUGCAUAGCUGGGAGAACCACUCGAUCGAGAGCCGAGAGCAGCCUGGAGAAUCUUCACUGCUGUCACACUGUGCACUAAGUCCUGGCAUGAGACCCUGCUGCCUGUCAGGAGAGCCCCUGGCAUCUGCCCCGACAUCUUCAGGCACUGCGAGGAACCAUGUGCGACGCGGUGGAGAAUGUAAAAAUAUAUAUGCAACCGAAAAACAACAACGGCUCACAGCACACAGCUAUAAAUACUCCGUGGUGCGGAAGCGCAGUCCUCGAGCUGGCUGCCUGCUGCCUGGGGCCCGGCUUCUCUGACAGGGCUCAGAACUACCUCAGGAUUGUGGAGCCAAUUGUGAUGAGCCAGCAUGCCCAUGGAAGCAGUGCUCGCAGCCGGAGGACUUGGAAGGCCUCUCUUGAAGGCUGCAUGGGACUUCCAAAAGUACCGACUGUGUUGUUCUUUCAAAGCCUUUGGUCAAUGUCGACACAGUGGGGAGGCUCUUGUGGAUUAGCUUUUUAUAAUCCCCAAAGCACUUUAGAAUCAUAAAUCGCUUUGGGACCACAG